UACGUAGGGGGCAAGCGUUGUCCGGAUUUAUUGGGCGUAAAGAGCGUGUAGGCGGCCAUGCAGGUCCGCUGUGAAAACUCGAGGCUCAACCUCGAGAUGUCGGUGGAAACCGUGUGGCUAGAGUCCGGAAGAGGAGAGUGGAAUUCCUGGUGUAGCGGUGAAAUGCGCAGAUAUCAGGAAGAACACCCGUGGCGAAGGCGGCUCUCUGGGACGGUACAGACGCUGAGACGCGAAAGCGUGGGGAGCGAACAGG
rnacentral:rRNA from 1 species